AAGCAAGUAUGUUGUUGUGAAUAGCGCAUAUACAAACACUGGGCGAGGCGGCCACAAUCUUUCGUCCUCAAAUUAGGGACUACAGUAUUUUAUAUUGAACUUGCACAAAACCCAGGAGUGGCCGUGUAUCUCUGAAUCGUUACCAUU